UAGGUUGUAGGGAACUGAAAAGGGACCGACCCUUCGGGGAGCCUAUACAGGUGUUGCAUGGCUGUCGUCAGCUCGUGUCGUGAGAUGUUCGGUUAAGUCCGCUAACGAGCGCAACCCUCGUCGUAUGUUAUAUGUGUCAUACGAGACUGCCGGUAAAAGCCGGAGGAAGGUGAGGAUGAUGUCAAGUCAGCAUGACCUUUAUAUCCAGGGCUACACACACGCUACAAUGGUCUGUACAAUGGGUAGCCAAGCCGCGAGGCGGAGCCGAAUCCUGAAAGCAGGCCUCAGUUCAGAUUGCAGUCUGCAACUCGACUGCAUGAAGCCGGAGUUGCUAGUAACCGCAGGUCAGCAAUACUGCGGUGAAUACGUUCCCGGGUCUU
rnacentral:rRNA from 1 species